rnacentral:rRNA from 2 species
GCAGUCGAACGAGUUCUCGUUGAUGAUCGGUGCUUGCACCGAGAUUCAACAUGGAACGAGUGGCGGACGGGUGAGUAACACGUGGGUAACCUGCCCUUAAGUGGGGGAUAACAUUUGGAAACAGAUGCUAAUACCGCAUAGAUCCAAGAACCGCAUGGUUCUUGGCUGAAAGAUGGCGUAAGCUAUCGCUUUUGGAUGGACCCGCGGCGUAUUAGCUAGUUGGUGAGGUAAUGGCUCACCAAGGCGAUGAUACGUAGCCGAACUGAGAGGUUGAUCGGCCACAUUGGGACUGAGACACGGCCCAAACUCCUACGGGAGGCAGCAGUAGGGAAUCUUCCACAAUGGACGCAAGUCUGAUGGAGCAACGCCGCGUGAGUGAAGAAGGCUUUCGGGUCGUAAAACUCUGUUGUUGGAGAAGAAUGGUCGGCAGAGUAACUGUUGUCGGCGUGACGGUAUCCAACCAGAAAGCCACGGCUAACUACGUGCCAGCAGCCGCGGUAAUACGUAGGUGGCAAGCGUUAUCCGGAUUUAUUGGGCGUAAAGCGAGCGCAGGCGGUUUUUUAAGUCUGAUGUGAAAGCCCUCGGCUUAACCGAGGAAGCGCAUCGGAAACUGGGAAACUUGAGUGCAGAAGAGGACAGUGGAACUCCAUGUGUAGCGGUGAAAUGCGUAGAUAUAUGGAAGAACACCAGUGGCGAAGGCGGCUGUCUGGUCUGUAACUGACGCUGAGGCUCGAAAGCAUGGGUAGCGAACAGGAUUAGAUACCCUGGUAGUCCAUGCCG